AACAGUGACUGGGAACACUUGACAACUCCUGAAUGAUAGCUUGAGGCCCUGGAGGGAAAACAUUAAGACUUUACAUUUCACAGUCAGCUCUGUUAAGCAGCUAUGGAAAUAGAAAAGGAACACAUUUAUAUUACCCCAACA